AUUAUAAACAGAGAGAGAGAGAGAGUGAGAGAGAGACGAAAUGGACAAAGCGUUUUUGAUAUGGCGCUGCUGUCGGGGCUAUUUACAUAAAUGAAUAAUUGUGUUUUGAAUGUUGAAUGCAUUUUGACUCUUCAUUAAGGCUUAAUCACAAUCAUUUCUCUAUUGUUUUUUUUUUUUUUCUUUAUUUGUUUGUUGAUGACUUUCGCAUUGUUGUCUCUAAAAAUUUGGCUAACUAAAAUGUUAACAUUUAUAAACAUUUUUGGUUUGUUUUAUCUUUUUU